rnacentral:rRNA from 1 species
CUAAGAAUAUUCCGCAAUGGACGAAAGUCUGACGGAGCGACGCCGCGUGGAUGAUGAAGGCCGUGAGGUUGUAAAAUCCUUUUGUCGGGGAAGAAUAAGUCUGGGAGGGAAUGCCCGGAUGAUGACAUGAACCGGCGAAUAAGCCCCGGCUAACUACGUGCCAGCAGCCGCGGUAACACGUAGGGGGCAAGCGUUGUUCGGAAUUACUGGGCGUAAAGGGCACGUAGGCGGUCCUGUAAGCCUGACGUGAAAGGCUAUGGCUCAACCAUGGCAUUGCGUUGGGAACUGCGGGACUUGAAUCACGGAGAGGGAGCUGGAAUUCCAGGUGUAGGGGUGAAAUCUGUAGAUAUCUGGAAGAACACCAAUGGCGAAGGCAAGCUCCUGGCCGAUGAUUGACGCUGA